rnacentral:rRNA from 1 species
CCUACGGGGUGCUGCAGUGAGGAAUAUUGGUCAAUGGCCGGAAGGCUGAACCAGCCAUGCCGCGUGAAGGUCAGUGCCCUAUGGGCGUUAAACUUCUUUUGUGCGGGAGCAAUAAUGGUCACGUGUGGCCAGACGAGAGUACCGUACGAAUAAGCAUCGGCUAACUCCGUGCCAGCAGCCGCGGUAAUACGGGGGAUGCAAGCGUUAUCCGGAUUUAUUGGGUUUAAAGGGUGCGUAGACUGUGAGGUAAGUCAGCGGUGAAAUGCCCCCGCUCAACGGGGUGAAGUGCCAUUGAUACUGCCUGGCUGGAAUGCGGAUGCCGUGGGAGGAAUGUGUGGUGUAGCGGUGAAAUGCAUAGAUAUCACACAGAACACCGAUUGCGAAGGCAUCUCACGAAGCCGCGAUUGACGCUGAUGCACGAAAGCGUGGGUAUCAAACAGGAUUAGAUACCCUGGUAGUC